GUAACUUGCUCUGUAGAGCAGGCUGACCUUGAACUCAGGGAUCUGCCUGCCUUUGCCUCCGAGCACUGGGACCAAAGGUGUGCCCCGCAGUGCCCUCCUGGCUUGCUUUGGCCUUUUAGAUAAGAGGAAUGCCACUAUGAACUGGCUACACAAACCAACUGUCACUUUUAAAAUAAAAGGCUACCACUACAGUUUGGAUCUUAAAUGUCCAGGGAGGUGCUACUGGGUGGUGGGGUAUCCUCUAAGAGGAUAGUAAGUCCUAGUGGGAAGUCUUUAGGCUAUUUCAGAACCUGGGAAUGGACUCUCAUACCUUUAACCUCAGAAUAAGGGGACAGAGAGAGGAGGAUCCUGAGAGCUGAAAUGGUGAACUUUAGGCUCACUUAGAGGCCCUAUCUCAAGGGAAUAGGAUAAGAAUGAUAGAGCAGGACAGCCAAUGACCUCCUCGAGUCUCCAUGGGCAUUCAUAGGCAUGUGCAUACAUAUGUACAAAUACAUACAUACAUGCAUACACAAUAUACAUACAUGGAUACACAUACAUGGGUAAACACACACACAUGCACGAGUGUGUGUGUGCACAUGGGGAGGGAGGGAUAAAAUCUUGUUCAUACUUGUAAAUCUCUUCCUUCUGCAUUGUGUUGGUGUGAGUGGGGGCUCAGGCAUGAUUGAUGCUCACUGUCACCUCUCUUCCCCUGGUCCCCUGCCCAGUGAUGCAGAGCUGCCAUCCUGCCUGGGCAACUCCACCACGCAGUCCUUCGAACUCCUUGCUGCACUUGUUAAGUGAUGUUCCAGUUUCUUCCCAAAGGUGAAUUGAACUCACUGGGCUGGAGCUCAGGCACCAGCACUGCCUGAAGAACUCCUCGUGGACUUGUAAUGGCACAGGAACUGGAAUGUGCUAUGUUUAGUGAUCCCUGACUACUGUGCUGACCCCAGUGUCCUUCACACCUCUCCCAUCACACCCUUUCUGUGGUGGCUGGGAAUGCUGGGUUCUGAAGACAUCCUGAAUAUUGAGCCAAGAAGCCUUGCUGUGACUGAAGCAAAUGGUGUUUACUUAGAACUCCACGGAAUUAGACACGCAGAGGCAACAGCGCAGCCCCUGGUUCACAGUGAAGUGUGCUCCUGAGAUGUCAACUCUUAGAAGAUCCUUCGUGUGUACGCAAUUGCAUCUGUGUCUGUGCCCACACAUGGUCCCACUUUGGCUUUCUGAGUUCUGGAUUACAAGACAAUGCUGCCACACCUGACAUGAGGUUCGAAUUUUGCUUCAAGAACUUACUCAAAUGCCAGCACUCCUUCAUGGUCUUCAGAGGAUGGACAAUUCUUCCAAGCAACUUGCCUUUGGUCAAAAACUUCUGCCUAUUUGUGGGCUAUUUGCUGGGCGUCUGUCCAUGAGGGUGACUGUUGUAGACAUGUAGACCAUUCUAGGAGCUUUUUAGCCAUGUGGGAGGACAUUAAAACAAAACUCACUUUGCUGUU